rnacentral:tRNA from 1 species
GGGUGAUUAGCUCAGUGGUAGAGCGCUUCGUUCACAUCGAAGAUGUCAGGGGUUCGAAUCCCUUAUCACCCACCA